AGAGUUUGAUCCUGGCUCAGAUUGAACGCUGGCGGCAUGCCUUACACAUGCAAGUCGAACGGUAACAGGUUAAGCUGACGAGUGGCGAACGGGUGAGUAAUGUAUCGGAACGUGCCCAGUCGUGGGGGAUAACUGCUCGAAAGAGCAGCUAAUACCGCAUACGACCUGAGGGUGAAAGCGGGGGAUCGCAAGACCUCGCGCGAUUGGAGCGGCCGAUAUCAGAUUAGGUAGUUGGUGAGGUAAAGGCUCACCAAGCCGACGAUCUGUAGCUGGUCUGAGAGGACGACCAGCCACACUGGGACUGAGACACGGCCCAGACUCCUACGGGAGGCAGCAGUGGGGAAUUUUGGACAAUGGGCACAAGCCUGAUCCAGCCAUGCCGCGUGCGGGAAGAAGGCCUUCGGGUUGUAAACCGCUUUUGUCAGGGAAGAAAAGGUUCUGGCUAAUACCUGGGACUCAUGACGGUACCCGAAGAAUAAGCACCGGCUAACUACGUGCCAGCAGCCGCGGUAAUACGUAGGGUGCAAGCGUUAAUCGGAAUUACUGGGCGUAAAGCGUGCGCAGGCGGUUAUGCAAGACAGAGGUGAAAUCCCCGGGCUCAACCUGGGAACUGCCUUUGUGACUGCAUGGCUAGAGUACAGUAGAGGGGGAUGGAGUUCCCCGUGUGCAGUGAAAUGCGUAGAUAUGCGGAGAAGACCGAUGGCGAAGCGGUAUCUGGAGCUGUGCUGAUGCUCAUGCUCCAAGCAUGGUGAGCAGACAAGAAUAAUACACUCGGUAGUUCACGCCCUCAUCACAGCAACUGAUGGUUGGUAGGGGUGGUGUUAUCUACGUACUUACCCACGCAGUGGCGCACUGCCAGUACGACGACGGUUGAUUCUACUGAAUUGACUG
rnacentral:rRNA from 1 species